GGCACAGUGGCGGAGUGGUUAACGCGACAGAUUCGAAUUUCUUGCAUCCUAUCUGUUCCUCUUUGAGGGCGCAUGUUCGAAUCAUGCCUGUGUCG